rnacentral:rRNA from 1 species
UACGAAGGGGGCUAGCGUUGCUCGGAAUCACUGGGCGUAAAGCGCACGUAGGCGGAUCUUUAAGUCAGGGGUGAAAUCCCAAGGCUCAACCUUGGAACUGCCUUUGAUACUGGGGAUCUCGAGUCCGGAAGAGGUUGGUGGAACUGCGAGUGUAGAGGUGAAAUUCGUAGAUAUUCGCAAGAACACCAGUGGCGAAGGCGGCCAACUGGUCCGGUACUGACGCUGAGGUGCGAAAAGCGUGGGGGAGCAAACAGG